UACGGGGGGGAGCAAGCGUUGUUCGGAUUUACUGGGCGUAAAGGGCGCGUAGGCGGUCGUGACAAGUCACUUGUGAAAUCUCCGGGCUUAACUCGGAACGGUCAAGUGAUACUGUCGGACUAGAGUGCUGUAGGGGCAGGCGGAAUUCCGGGUGUAGCGGUGGAAUGCGUAGAGAUCCGGAGGAAGACCGGUGGCGAAGGCGGCAUCCUGGACCGAGAUUGACGCUGAUGAGCGAAAGCUAGGGGAGCAAACAGG
rnacentral:rRNA from 1 species